rnacentral:rRNA from 1 species
AUUGAACGCUGGCGGCAUGCCUAAUACAUGCAAGUCGAACGGAAACAUGAAACACUUUCCUGUUUCGCUGUCGCGGCGCGCGCGUGAGUGACAUGUCUGUGACAUUGCUUGAUGGCUGGGAUAAACUACUGAAACCGGUACUUAAUCCGGCAUAACUUUGCAACACCAUGGUUCGAGAGUCACGGGCGGUUUUCCUUUCACUGUGCGAUGAUGCCGGUUGGUAUUAGCUGGUUGGUCAGGUAACGGCUUACCAAGGCGACGAUCCGUAGCAGAGCUGAGAGGAUGACCAGCCACACUGGAACUGAGACACGGUCCAGACUCCUACGGGAGGCAGCAGUGGGGAAUAUUGCACAAUGGGCGAAAGCCUGAUGGAGCCAUGCCGCGUGUAUGAAGAAGGCCUUCGGAUUGUAAAGUACUUUCAGCAGGGAAGAAGGAAGGAGAGAUAAUACCUUCACUCAUUGACGUUACCUAAAGAAGAAGCACCGGCUAACUACGUG